rnacentral:rRNA from 1 species
UCGAACGCUUCUUUCCUCCCGAGUGCUUGCACUCAAUUGGAAAGAGGAGUGGCGGACGGGUGAGUAACACGUGGGUAACCUACCCAUCAGAGGGGGAUAACACUUGGAAACAGGUGCUAAUACCGCAUAACAGUUUAUGCCGCAUGGCAUAAGAGUGAAAGGCGCUUUCGGGUGUCGCUGAUGGAUGGACCCGCGGUGCAUUAGCUAGUUGGUGAGGUAACGGCUCACCAAGGCCACGAUGCAUAGCCGACCUGAGAGGGUGAUCGGCCACACUGGGACUGAGACACGGCCCAGACUCCUACGGGAGGCAGCAGUAGGGAAUCUUCGGCAAUGGACGAAAGUCUGACCGAGCAACGCCGCGUGAGUGAAGAAGGUUUUCGGAUCGUAAAACUCUGUUGUUAGAGAAGAACAAGGACGUUAGUAACUGAACGUCCCCUGACGGUAUCUAACCAGAAAGCCACGGCUAACUACGUGCCAGCAGCCGCGGUAAUAC